rnacentral:rRNA from 1 species
UGGGGAAUAUUGCACAAUGGGCGGAAGCCUGAUGCAGCGACGCCGCGUGAGGGAUGACGGCCUUCGGGUUGUAAACCUCUUUCGGUAGGGACGAAGCGUUUUGUGACGGUACCUACAGAAGAAGCGCCGGCCAACUACGUGCCAGCAGCCGCGGUAAGACGUAGGGCGCGAGCGUUGUCCGGAUUUAUUGGGCGUAAAGAGCUCGUAGGCGGCUUGUUGCGUCAGCUGUGAAAGCCCAUGGCUUAACUGUGGGUUGGCAGCUGAUACGGGCAGGCUAGAGUUCGGUAGGGGAGACUGGAAUUCCUGGUGUAGCGGUGAAAUGCGCAGAUAUCAGGAGGAACACCGGUGGCGAAGGCGGGUCUCUGGGCCGAUACUGACGCUGAGGAGCGAAAGCGUGGGGAGCGAACA